rnacentral:rRNA from 1 species
CCUACGGGUGGCAGCAGUGAGGAAUAUUGGUCAAUGGGCGGGAGCCUGAACCAGCCAAGUCGCGUGAGGGACGACGGUCCUAUGGAUUGUAAACCUCUUUUGUCGGGGAACAAAGGCGCCCACGGGUGGGCGGAUGAGUGUACCCGAAGAAAAAGCAUCGGCUAACUCCGUGCCAGCAGCCGCGGUAAUACGGAGGAUGCGAGCGUUAUCCGGAUUUAUGGGGGUUAAAGGGUGCGUAGGCGGACAGUCAAGUCAGCGGGAAAAAUGCGGUGCUAAACGCCGUACAGCCGUUGAAACUGGGUGUCUUGAGUGGGCGAGAGGUAUGCGGAAUGCGUGGUGUAGCGGUGAAAUGCGUAGAUAUCACGAGGAACACCGGUUGCGAAGGCAGCAUACCGGAGGCCUACUGACGCUGAGGCACGAAAGCGUGGGUAGCGAACAGGAUUAGAUACCCCGGUAGUC